ACAUCCAGAGAAUUUAGCAGAGAUGCUUUAGUGCCUUCGGGAACUCUGAGACAGGUGCUGCAUGGCUGUCGUCAGCUCGUGUUGUGAAAUGUUGGGUUAAGUCCCGNAACGAGCGCAACCCUUAUCCUUUGUUGCCAGCACGUAAUGGUGGGAACUCAAAGGAGACUGCCGGUGAUAAACCGGAGGAAGGUGGGGAUGACGUCAAGUCAUCAUGGCCCUUACGAGUAGGGCUACACACGUGCUACAAUGGCGCAUACAAAGAGAAGCGACCUCGCGAGAGCAAGCGGACCUCAUAAAGUGCGUCGUAGUCCGGAUUGGAGUCUGCAACUCGACUCCAUGAAGUCGGAAUCGCUAGUAAUCGUAAAUCAGAAUGUUACGGUGAAUACGUUCCCGGGCCUUGUACACACCGCCCGUCACACCAUGGGAGUGGGUUGCAAAAGAAGUAGAUAGCUUAACCUUCGGGAGGGCGUUUACCACUUUGUGAUUCAUGACUGGGGGUGAAGUCGUAACAAGGUAGGCGUAGUGCU
rnacentral:rRNA from 1 species